rnacentral:rRNA from 1 species
UAUAGAUGGACCCGCGCCGUAUUAGCUAGUUGGUAAGGUAACGGCUUACCAAGGCAACGAUACGUAGCCGACCUGAGAGGGUGAUCGGCCACACUGGAACUGAGACACGGUCCAGACUCCUACGGGAGGCAGCAGUAGGGAAUCUUCCGCAAUGGGCGAAAGCCUGACGGAGCAACGCCGCGUGAGUGAUGAAGGUCUUAGGAUCGUAAAACUCUGUUGUUAGGGAAGAACAAAUUUGUUAGUAACUGAACAAGUCUUGACGGUACCUAACCAGAAAGCCACGGCUAACUACGUGCCAGCAGCCGCGGUAAUACGUAGGUGGCAAGCGUUAUCCGGAAUUAUUGGGCGUAAAGCGCGCGUAGGCGGUUUCUUAAGUCUGAUGUGAAAGCCCACGGCUCAACCGUGGAGGGUCAUUGGAAACUGGGGAACUUGAGUGCAGAAGAGGAGAGUGGAAUUCCAUGUGUAGCGGUGAAAUGCGCAGAGAUAUGGAGGAACACCAGUGGCGAAGGCGGCUCUCUGGUCUGUAACUGACGCUGAUGUGCGAAAGCGUGGGGAUCAAACAGGAUUAGAUACCCUGGUAGUCCACGCCGUAAACGAUGAGUGCUAAGUGUUAGGGGGUUUCCGCCCCUUAGUGCUGCAGCUAACGC